UUUCACUUCUAAGCGGCCCAUUUACAUAACAUUCAGUAGCUCAAAAUUACGUCUAUAAUUAUUACGAGCUUAGGUAUGUGCUUAGGUGGACAAUCGUAUUUUAAACAUAAAUUUAUUUUCACUCACACUCACACGACCGGCCCACCAACCAAAACCAAUCCGGCCCUGUGUGUACAAGCAUUUAAUUUGUGCAUUCUCGCGGGAAGAAAAUAUGGAAAACAUAAAAAUAACGAUUGGAUAAGUAAUAAGUAAUAACUAAUAAGUAUAAUAACCAAUCAACAGUGAAACAAAUACAAAUACAAUUUGAUAAGUGCAUCAACAUGAAGUGAAGUGAAUUCAUCACAAAACUACACAACUCCAUAUCUUCCAAGUUUUUUUCCAGAAUUUUAUUACAAUGAAAAUUUGAUGAAUUUGCUUAUAGAAUAGAAUUUAGAAUCAGUAUUCAGUAUACACAUCUUACGUACACAAAUUGACACUAAGUAUACACUGAAUAAGGAACCUCUAAUAUUGAACAAGUUACUUAUUAUUCAAAACAUUUCUGGUCAAACGAUGAUAUUUCAAAAAACAGUAUUUCAAUAAUCCUAAUGUGAGUAAUGAGAUUACUUUAUAAAGAGUAAUGUUUUAAUCAAAAGUUGUAGAAAUAUGUUAGUGGAGAAAUUAUUUGUGUAUAAUCAAAAAUGGCUUUGUAAUAACAAUGCAAUUGAUAGA